CCCCACUCAGGAUCGCACCUGGAGAGUUUCCCAUACUUUACCAGUCUUGACUACAGGAGGGAGAGUCAAGCAGAGGCCGACCCAUUCCAUUCCUAACUUGGGCAGUGGCUAGCGAGUGGAAGGCCAUCUGCUACAAGU